rnacentral:rRNA from 1 species
GACGAACGCUGGCGGCGCGCCUAAUACAUGCAAGUCGAACGCUUUUUCUUUCACCGGAGCUUGCUCCACCGAAAGAAAAAGAGUGGCGAACGGGUGAGUAACACGUGGGUAACCUGCCCAUCAGAAGGGGAUAACACUUGGAAACAGGUGCUAAUACCGUAUAACACUAUUUUCCGCAUGGAAGAAAGUUGAAAGGCGCUUUUGCGUCACUGAUGGAUGGACCCGCGGUGCAUUAGCUAGUUGGUGAGGUAACGGCUUACCAAGGCAACGAUGCAUAGCCGACCUGAGAGGGGGAUCGGCCACACUGGGACUGAGACACGGCCCAGACUCCUACGGGAGGCAGCAGUAGGGAAUCUUCGGCAAUGGACGAAAGUCUGACCGAGCAACGCCGCGUGAGUGAAGAAGGUUUUCGGAUCGUAAAACUCUGUUGUUAGAGAAGAACAAGGAUGAGAGUAAAACGUUCAUCCCUUGACGGUAUCUAACCAGAAAGCCACGGCUAACUACGUGCCAGCCGCCGCAGUAA